GAUCAUGACCUGAGCCGAAGGCAGAGGCUUAACCCACUGAGCAACCCAGGUGAAUGUGGAAAAAAAUGUCAAGAUGUUUUCCUGGUCAACUGGUGAUGGGCUUAGCAGUGAAGAUUUCAGGUCUCUAUACCAUGUAGGCUGUACACCAGUACCUAAAAGAGUAAGUUGUCUUAUGUAGAACAAUAAAAUAAAAAUGUUAAAACUGCA